AUUGAACGCUGGCGGCAUGCUUUACACAUGCAAGUCGAACGGUAACAGGCCUUCGGGUGCUGACGAGUGGCGAACGGGUGAGUAAUGCAUCGGAACGUACCCAGAGGUGGGGGAUAACGCGGCGAAAGCUGUGCUAAUACCGCAUGUGAUCUGAGGAUGAAAGCGGGGGACCGAGCAGCAAUGUUUGGCCUCGCGCCUUUGGAGCGGCCGAUGUCGGAUUAGCUAGUUGGUGGGGUAAAGGCCUACCAAGGCGACGAUCCGUAGCUGGUCUGAGAGGACGACCAGCCACACUGGGACUGAGACACGGCCCAGACUCCCACGGGAGGCAGCAGUGGGGAAUUUUGGACAAUGGGCGCAAGCCUGAUCCAGCAAUGCCGCGUGCGGGAAGAAGGCCUUCGGGUUGUAAACCGCUUUUGGCAGGAACGAAACGGUGUCCGCUAAUACCGGGCGCUAAUGACGGUACCUGCAGAAUAAGCACCGGCUAACUACGUG
rnacentral:rRNA from 1 species